rnacentral:rRNA from 1 species
AGAUAAGCUACUAAGGGCACGAGGUGAAUGCCUUGGUGCUGGGAGGCGAUGAAGGACGCGGUUACCUGCGAUAAGCCCCGGGGAGACGGAAGCAGUCUUUGAUCCGAGGAUUUCCGAAUGGGGAAACCCCACUGGUGAACCCAGUGACUCCUGGAUGAAUUCAUAGUCCAGGUAGAGCGACACCCGCUGAAGUGAAACAUCUCAGUAAGCGGAGGAAAAGAAAGCGAAUGCGAUUCCGUAAGUAGCGGCGAGCGAAAGCGGAACAGCCCAAAAUCGAGAGGCUUGCCUCUCGGUGGUGUGGGCCUCAAUGUGGUAAGAGGAAUGGUAAAGGAACGCCUUGGAACAGGCGGCCAGAGAGGGUGACAGCCCCGUAGAUUAAACCUGACUGAAGCCUAGAGGAUCCCCGAGUAACACGGGAUAAGUGGAACCCCGUGUGAAUUGAUGCGCAAACCAUUGCGUAAGGCUAAAUACUACCCAGCAACCGAUAGUGAACAAGUACCGUGAGGGAAAGGUGAAAAGGACCCCGGGAGGGGAGUGAAAAGUACCUGAAACCACGUGCCUACAAGGUGUCGGAGCAUAUCUUCGGAUAUGUGACGGCGUGCCUUUUGCAUAAUGAGUCUGCGAGUUAUCGUUCGUGGCAAGCCUAAGUAUUUAUGAUAUGGAGGCGAAGCGAAAGCGAGUGUGACAAGCGCGACAUUAGUCGCGGGCGAUAGACCCGAAGCGGAGGUGAUCUAGCCAUGGCCAGGUUGAAGCUACAGUAACAUGUAGUGGAGGACCGAACCAGUGUACGUUGAAAAGUGCUUGGAUGAGCUGUGGCUAGGAGUGAAAGGCUAAUCAAACCCCGUAAUAGCUGGUUCUCUCCGAAAUAGCUUUAGGGCUAGCGUCAGGUAAAGAACUCUGGGGGGUAGAGCACUGAAUGGCUUAGGGCCACUACCAUGGUACCAAAACCAAUCAAACUCCGAAUACCCAGAUCCCAAAUCCCUGGCAGUCAGACUGUGGGUGAUAACAUUCAUGGUCGAAAGGGAAACAACCCAGAUCGCCGGCUAAGGUGCCCAAAUCAAGUUAAGUGGAAAGGAUGUGAAAUUGCACAGACAGUGAGGAUGUUGGCUUAGAGGCAGCCAUCAUUUAAACAUAGCGUAAUAGCUGACUCAUCGAGCGAUUUCGCGCCGAAAAUGAUUGGCGAUUAAACUUGAUACCGAAGCCGCGAAAACGUGUUUACACGUUUGGUAGGAGAGCGUCGUCUAUGCACUGAAGCAGAACUGUAAAGAACUGUGGAGCGUAGACGAGUGAGGAUGCAGACAUGAGUAGCGAUAAACCAGGUGAGAAUCCUGGUCGCCGUAAACCCAAGGUUUCCUGAAUGCCACGUUCGUCGGCAGAGGGUUAGUCGGGACCUAAGGCGAGGCCGUAAGGCGUAGUCGAUGGACAGACGGUUAAUAUUCCGUCACCAACGAGUAAUUAGUGUUCAGUGCGCGGUUUGAAAGAGACAGUGGUAAUCGUAUUCCACGUCGUACCCUUCGGGGGAGGAUAUGUCUUGGACAAACUGCCUAGAAAAGCUGAUGCACAGUCUAUGCUCGUUGCCCGUACCGUAAACCGCCACAGGUAGGUGGGUGUAAAUGUACUAAGGCGCGCGAGAGAAACCUCUCUAAGGAACUCUGCAAUCUAGCCCCGUAACUUCGGAAGAAGGGGUGCCAUCUUCGGAUGGCCACAGUAAAGGGGGUCUGGCGACUGUUUACCAAAAACACAGCUCUCUGCUAAGUCGUGAAGACGACGUAUAGGGAGUGACACGUGACCAAUGCGGAAAGAUUAAGGCUGUUCUGUUAACGCAGGGCACCCAAGUCCCCGUGAAUGUCGGCCGUAACUAUAACGGUCCUAAGGUAGCGAAAUUCCUUGUCGGGUAAGUUCCGACCUGCACGAAUCGUGUAACGACCGGACUGCUGUCUCAGAGAGGAUCUCGGCGAAGUUGUAAUGGCGGUGAAGAUGCCGCCUACCCGCGGUAGGACGGAAAGACCCUAUGCACCUUUACUGUAAGCUGGUAUUGGGUUCUGGACUUUGAUGUGUAGUAUAGGUGGGAGACGUUGAAAUCGGUUCGUCAGGAUCGAUGGAGUCACAAUGUGAAAUACCACCCUUUAUUUUCUAGGAUUCUAACCCCGAUUUCUCUGAAGCGAGACGGGGGACAGUGCUUGCGGGUCAGUUUGACUGGGGCGGUUUCCUCCCAAAAAGUAACGGAGGAGCGCGAAGGUACUCUCAGUAUGGUCGGCAACCAUACAUCGAGCGUAUAGGUAGAAGAGUGCUUGACUGUGAGACCGACAGGUCGAGCAGGUACGAAAGUAGGCCUAAAUGAUCCGAUGGUUGAAAGUGGAAUUGCCAUCGCUCAACGGACAAAAGGUACGCUAGGGAUAACAGGCUUAUCGCGCCCAAGAGUUCAUAUCGACGGCGCGGUUUGGCACCUCGAUGUCGGCUCGUCACAUCCUGGGGCUGAAGAAGGUCCCAAGGGUUCGGCUGUUCGCCGAUUAAAGUGGCACGCGAGCUGGGUUCAGAACGUCGUGAGACAGUUCGGUCCUUAUCCACCGUGGGCGCAGGAAACUUGAGGGGUUCAUUUCAUAGUACGAGAGGACCUGAAAUGACGUACUUCUGGUGUGGCAGUUGUCGUGACAACGGCAGCGCUGCGUAGCUAUGUACGGAAGAGAUAAGCGCUGAAAGCAUCUAAGCGCCAAGCUCAUCCCAAGAUAAGGUUUCCUUUGAGACUCCUGGAAGACUACCAGGUUGAUAGGCCAGAGGUGUAAGCACAGCAAUGUGUUCAGCUGACUGGUACUAAUGUUCGAUCGCUUAUCUUU